rnacentral:rRNA from 1 species
GGACCCGCACAAGCGGUGGAGCAUGUUGUUUAAUUCGUCGCAACGCGAAGAACCUUACCUACGCUUGAAUCCCGGCAGCGGCUUUCAGAGAUGAGAGCUUCAUUUAGUUGGGCCGGAGACAGGUGCUGCAUGGCUGUCGUCAGCUCGUGUCGUGAGAUGUUGGGUUAAGUCCCGCAACGAGCGCAACCCUUGCCGUAUGUUGCUACCAGGUUAUGCUGGGCACUCAUACGGGACCGCCGGUGAUAAGCCGGAGGAAGGUGGGGACGACGUCAAGUCAUCAUGGCCCUUACGCGUAGGGCUACAAACGUGCUACAAUGGCUGUGACAGUGGGCAGCGAUACAGCAAUGUAAAGCAAAUCCCAAAAAGCAGUCUCAGUUCGGAUUGUCCUCUGCAACUCGAGGGCAUGAAGCUGGAAUCGCUAGUAAUCGUGGAUCAGCACGCCACGGUGAAUACGUUCCCGGGUCUU